CCCCGGGGCGGCCGCAGCCAAUGGGGCCCGGGGAGAGGGGCGGAGCGGCACGGCACGGCCCGGCCCGGCCCGGCCCCUCCCGGCACGGCCCAGCUCCGGGAGAGGCGCCCGCGGCGUGAGCCACGCACCACUGGAAAAUGGCAGCGCUGCGCUCCGGGGGGUGCCGCGGGAGGCAGGGCGGCGAGCAGCAGCCCCGGGGGACACGGCGGGAAGCGGCUCUCCCCGACCCCCCCCCGUCUGGCGUGGGCUGUGCAUCAAGAGGUGAAUGCUCCUCUGGCAUUUUUCUGUCCAUCCUUGCAAGUGUAUUAACACUCCAUGGCAAUAGAAGAUCAAGAAAACUGAGAUGACGAGUAAGAGAUGAUAAAAACUGACACCUUAUCUACACAAAGUGUGAAAAUAGCAUGGACUCAGGGAGCACCUCUCCUCUCCUCUCCCUUCAUGGUUUAAUUCCCAAGAACUACAUCAGCUGAAAGUCCUCAUGGAACAAGGUGGACCUACACCUGCUCCAGAGGAGUCAUCUGCUCCAAACAACUUUGAAUGACAACAGGCUCAGGAAGUACAUAAUGAAUUCUAAAAACAUUUUAUUACACUUUUCUCUGCAACCUAAAAUUAUUCUUAUUUUUAAGGGGAAAAAAUGCAUCACCAAAACUUCAUAUUAGAAAUAAAUUCUUUGAAAAUGGAAUUUGUUGGAAAUAAAUAACACAGUGAUUUUCAACAAUAAUUUUA